GUUGGCUGAUCUGAUACAUUUACACAGCAGGUCAGAGUCUGUUCUCCAGCCCCGCUCUCUGGAUCGGGCUCUUCCUGGAGAAGGUGCUGACAGCCGCCUUCCUCCUCUUCCUCUUCCUGAGAAGCAAAGCGUAACCAGCCCCUGGUCUAUUUCCCUGUUUUCUCGCACUGUUGCCACCUGCCAACUUCUCUGCCUGCAGCCUCUGUCCCCCAGAGCAGGAAACGAGUCCCUAGAUGGUGGAGCUGCAGUGACCCCUGCUGGCCAAUCAGAUGGAGCCCAGGCUUGACAGAGCGAAGGUGAAGGGGUGACCUGGUUACAGUCUAUAAGUACCUAUGUGACGUGGGGAACAAAUAUUUCAUAAUGGGCUCGUCAGUCUGGCAGAUAAAGGUCUGACACACGAUCCAAUGGCUGGAAGUUGAAGUCAGACAAAUUCUGACUGGAAUUGAGGCCUAAAUUUUUAAUGGUGAGAGUAAUUAACCAUUGGAACAAUUUACCAAGAGUUGUGGUGGAUUCUCCAUCAUUGACAAUUUUAAAAUCAAGACGGGAUGUUUCUCUAAAGGAUCUGCUCUAGAGAUUAUCAAGGGGAGGUUCUCUGGCCUGUGCUUUAGAGCAGGUCAGAUUCGAGGAGCACAACGGUCCCUUCUGGCCUAGGAAUUUAAGAAUCUCUGAUGGGACGUACCCACCACUCAGUCCUGCCAGCUGACAAAAGAGCCACAUGAAGGACUCCUGACCGGGCUCCCUGCCCCCUUCAGCCCAUCCCUCUGCGCUGUCUGCACUGACCUUCACUUCAGGGAGCAGAUAUGUGGAAUACGGGGGUGUAACACCAUUUGUUCGUGUGUAAUACGCUGUGUGUCCGUGAGACCCGGUGAACCCGGAGCAGCUCCGCUGAGUCCUGUGGGAUUGGCCUGACGCUCAGACCUGGGCUGGCAGGUCCCCGGGCUGGCAGGAGCUGGGCGUUUUACAGAUGUGACCCUGUGACUUGAUUGGAGAGAAAUAGACCCCUGCUGUUACUGCUGGGUCUGGCCAAUCACCGGAGUGGCCUGGAGAGGGUCCCUGAGGGCCGUGGGCAGGGCCGGAUCCCAUAGGUGCCCAUGCUGGUCUGUGCUCUGGGACACCGGGGAGGUGGGACACAGACCAUGUGCAGUGCUGGGUUGUGUCUUUUCUGCUACUCUGGACUCUGGCUGAAGCCUCCGGCCUCUGCCCAGCUCUGAAGAGGCAGGAGAUGGUUGUGUAAUAAUUUCUGUUCGACAAUAAACCGCCCUGGCAAUGCUUGAACUCA